ACAAGCAAUUGAUCGCUGCAUUAUUGUAGAGGAAAGUCCAUGCUUGCACAAGCUGAGAUGCUUGUAGUGUUUAUGUGGGAGUUAACUCUCCCAAUGCUUUAUAGUUAGAGUAAUGACGGUGUUAUUUCCUAAGUGCUUGCAUAUGGAAAUAAUGCAUUAAAGUACCACAGAGACGAGUUUUAUAAGAAAUUAUAGAAGUGAAACGAGGCAAACUCCAUAAGCAAGAAACCCAAAUAACGUAAGUUGGUAGGGGAACAAAUCUAAGAGAAUUGAAUUAAGGAUUUGACACGUAAGUGUAGGUAAAUGAUCAAUACAUUAUGUGAAUAAUGACAGAACAUGGCUUAUCGCU
rnacentral:RNase_P_RNA from 1 species